rnacentral:rRNA from 1 species
GGGGAAUAUUGGACAAUGGGCGAAAGCCUGAUCCAGCAAUGCCGCGUGAGUGAUGAAGGCCUUAGGGUUGUAAAGCUCUUUCGCCUGAGACGAUGAUGACGGUAUCAGGAGAAGAAGCCCCGGCUAAUUCCGUGCCAGCAGCCGCGGUAAUACGGAAGGGGCUAGCGUUGUUCGGAAUUACUGGGCGUAAAGCGCGCGCAGGCGGUUAGACAAGUGAGGCGUGAAAGCCCUGGGCUCAACCUGGGAAUUGCGCUUCAGACUGUUUGACUGGAGUUCGGGAGAGGGUGGUGGAAUUCCCAGUGUAGAGGUGAAAUUCGUAGAUAUUGGGAGGAACACCGGUGGCGAAGGCGGCCGCCUGGCCCGUAACUGACGCUAAAGCGCGAAAGCGUGGGGAGCAAAC